AGAGUUUGAUCCUGGCUCAGAACGAACGCUGGCGGCAGGCUUAACACAUGCAAGUCGAGCGCGCGCUUUCGGGCGUGAGCGGCGGACGGGUGAGUAACGCGUGGGAACGUGCCCUUUCCUCCGGAAUAGCCCAGGGAAACUUGGAUUAAUGCCGGAUACGCCCUUUCGAGGGGAAAGAUUUAUCGGGGAAGGAUCGGCCCGCGUCUGAUUAGGUAGUUGGUGGGGUAACGGCCUACCAAGCCGACGAUCAGUAGCUGGUUUGAGAGGAUGAUCAGCCACACUGGGACUGAGACACGGCCCAGACUCCUACGGGAGGCAGCAGUGGGGAAUCUUGGACAAUGGGCGCAACCCUGAUCCAGCCAUGCCGCGUGAACGAUGAAGGCCCUAGGGUUGUAAAGUUCUUUCAGCGGGGAAGAUAAUGACGGUACCCGCAGAAGAAGCCCCGGCUAACUCCGUGCCAGCCGCCGCGGUAAUUC
rnacentral:rRNA from 1 species